UUAUGGAUUUAUCACAGUUAUUUUUUAGCAGUCUGCCUUACUAAGUACUAAAUUCUGAUGUUACUUGCAGACGUACACAGUGAAUAAUAUUAUCUACCUAUAUAUAUAUAUAUAAGAAUCUAACUUGAUUUUGGAGACGAAGGAAAACGGUACGAAGAAUUUCUCGAUCACAGAGGAAAGAGGAACGACAAUGUGGAGAAGAAAUAAAUUGUAUACUAAAGGGAUCAAAAUGUCGGCCGUGGUCGUCGUCGGACUGCUGGCGCUUUUGUUGGCUACUCAAUCGUCCAACUGUCAAGUCCACCAAUUUCCCGAGGCGACGGAGUGUCAAGUCGACCAAAUGCCCGCAGUGAUGAACAUGGACGAUAAAAUCGACCGAAUUCCCGAAGUUGCGAUUGCGAAUGGUCUGCCGGGACCGUGGAUAUCUGAGCUGUUUCACCGGGCGCUCUCCAAUUUCACAAUUCGGCACGUCGGCAGCGCUGCUUGUCGGACCCAAUCCGACAUGUACGACAGAAAUUUGCGGAACCACACCAGUUGGGCGGUCAAAAUGGCCGAGUCCUGGAAUCGAUAUCCGACAGGCAUACUAGCGGGCAACCAAUAUCACUUGGGAAUUUACGACGAAUGCGUGGACGUGCGUUAUCCUGUGAUGGGACAGUAUUGCUUGUCCGAAAUAAAUCUAAGCUCAUCGAUGGGCAGAGUUUACAGUUUCAACAGAACUGACAAUCUAGACGAUUUUGGGAAUAAUAAUGCCUGGAAAACAAUACUCGGAUGGGGCGAUUAUCCGGACAAAGUGAAACGAAACAAAUUGAAUUUAGGAAUAUGCAUUCCGGAUUCAUGUUCAGCGUUAGACCUGCAAACUUCAUUGCAAAACGAACUGGACAAAGUGUUCACGCCAGAAGAGAUCGAGGCAGUUGUCAAAGUGGAUCCGAUAAUGUGCACGGUCAAAGGAGACAUGUAUCCUUACAACACAUCGUACUACGUGACCAGGAUGUUUUUUUUAAUGCUUGUUUUGAUUUGUUGCGGCACAACGUUGUAUCAUUACACAAGAAUAUCAUACGAUAAAAAUAAAAAAAAAACAAUCAGUGAAGGUUUUGGUUCAUUUUGCGAUACUUUUUCAUUUAUUGAUUCAAGUAAAACCUUGUUAAAAUUCGAUAAAGACAGCGAUCUGAAUGCACUCUAUGGAUUUAAAGUGCUAAUGAUGAUGGCCAUUAUCAUGGGUCACAGAUUAUUUUGUAUACUUGGAAACCCCAUGAGUAACCCUAAACGCUUAGAAAGUGUUUAUCUCAAUGGACCCGAUCUUCUAUUGACUGCUUCGAACAUAAUCGAUCCAUUUUUUUUCAUAAGUGGUUUUCUCAUGUAUCUGAACAUCUCUCGAUCAUCUAUAAAAGCUGAAGCCGAAUUAAAAAAAAUCACAUCGCCAAUUAUCCAUCGAGUUUUCAGAAUGUUACCGGCGUAUUGCGCAAUGAUGGCUAUCACAGCACACAUCAUACCUCAUCAUGGCGACGGACCACUGUGGUCAAAGAUAAUGUGGGGAGAAUCCGAAAUUUGCAAAAAUUAUUGGUGGACCAAUUUAUUGUUCAUAACCAAUUUUCUCGACAGCAAAUACGGAUGCCUCGUAAUUAACUACUACGUAUCGUGUGACGUUCAGUUUUUCGUAGUUGGAGUGAUAAUUGUUUACGCUUACAUGAAAAAUGCCAAAUUUGGAAUCGGUUUAAUCGCUACAGUACUGGUUUUGUCAGUAUCCGUUCCGUUUCUAGUCACGUUUAUGACGAAAAGAAGCGGAAUAUAUCUAAUGUAUAUUGAAUAUUUAGAAAGCUUGAAAUUUUACAUAUCGGUAAAUGAGUCGUACAGAUUAAGUUACAUGCGAGCCACACCUUUCUUUGCUGGUUUAGCCACGAGCUUUAUCGUGGAAAAGUUGAAGGAAAAUAAAGUGACAUUUUCCUAUAUUACUGUUUUCGGUGGAACAUUCGUUGUUUCUGCGGUUUGUCUUUGUGCUCAGCUUUACGGUGUCAAAUUGUCCCCUCAACAUACACCUUAUUAUCCGUUGGAACAUGCUUUGUUCUCAGUCGUCAAACAUUGUACGUGGUCGGUAUGGGGCAUGUGGUGUUGCAUUUGCUUGUUCACGACUGGAUAUGGCCCCUUUACAUACGCAAUUAACAACAGACUUGUUGUGGUCUUGGGAAGACUCUCGUACUCAGUUUUUUUGGUCAACAUCACUGUCAUAUUGAUGUCUGUUGGUACAAUAAGAUCACCGAUUUACUUUUCAGUCAGUUACUUGAUGGAUACUUGGAUAUUCGAUGUAUUUAAGAGUUAUGUGAUAGCUUUAGCAUUAUAUUUGGUAGUUGAAGCGCCGUCCAAUAAAAUUAUUAAAAGAUGGAUUGGACAAGGGUAAAGAAGAAAAAUUACUUAAAUUCAAUAGCUUAUUAGUGAUUACUGAGUCAUCGAUAAAAAUAGAUUCGAUUAGUUUAUGGCAACUGCAGACUCUGGAAAGGCAAGCUGGGCUGCUGGUGCCGAAGGAUUUGUAUUUAUCACAUUAGCAUUAUAAGCCCAAGAGGAGGAAACAUACAGUAGCUCUAAAUUAUUAGGAUGAUAUCCCCCCCCCCCCCGAUUAUUAUUUAAAAUUCAACACUGUCCUAAGCUCAUAAUAUUAUAACUAAGGUUAGG
rnacentral:misc_RNA from 1 species